rnacentral:rRNA from 1 species
AACGAACGCUGGCGGCAGGCUUAACACAUGCAAGUCGAGCGCCCCGCAAGGGGAGCGGCAGACGGGUGAGUAACGCGUGGGAACAUACCCUCCGGUUCGGAAUAACUCAGGGAAACUUGAGCUAAUACCGGAUACGGCUUAGCGGCGAAAGAUUUAUCGCCGGAGGAUUGGCCCGCGUCCGAUUAGCUAGUUGGUGUGGUAAUGGCGCACCAAGGCGACGAUCGGUAGCUGGUCUGAGAGGAUGAUCAGCCACAUUGGGACUGAGACACGGCCCAAACUCCUACGGGAGGCAGCAGUGGGGAAUAUUGGACAAUGGGCGAAAGCCUGAUCCAGCCAUGCCGCGUGAGUGAUGAAGGCCUUAGGGUUGUAAAGCUCUUUCACCCACGACGAUAAUGACGGUAG